GCAGUUUUAAUUCGCGCGCUUAUGAUGGAAACCGUUACCUGAGCGGCGGCGAGGGUGCGCCCUUCCCCUGCGCUGCGUCGYGCUGGGCGCAGGAGAGUCCGGCCGGCUGGCGCCGGCGAGUCGCUCCGGAGGCUGCCGGGGGAGCCGACAUCCUUGCCCCGUCCCGCCCAGCUCGGGCGUUUGGGCUGCACCGUCCCUAUUGAUCGCUUCGGUCACCAAGAAAGGAUGUACCGAAUUCCAAAGAGUGUCGGGCCUUAUCGGGCAGCUGCUUCUACAGGCGCGAGGACACGAGGCAGCGCCGCGCCGGUCCGUGAUUAUUAGGAAAGAAGCAAGAAAAUCUUCAGCGGUAGAAAUCUGUGUAGGCCUAGUGCCUAUGCCCCGUUUCAUCAGGGGUAUGUCCUAUUCACUGGGAAAGUCAUGUAUGCAGAAUGUAUCAGGACUGACACUGACCUUCAUGUAAUCAGUUUGUUGAUUUUGUACUCCC
rnacentral:lncRNA from 1 species